AGUGAACGCUGGCGGUAGGCCUAACACAUGCAAGUCGAACGGCAGCACAGUAAGAGCUUGCUCUUACGGGUGGCGAGUGGCGGACGGGUGAGGAAUACAUCGGAAUCUACUUUUUCGUGGGGGAUAACGUAGGGAAACUUACGCUAAUACCGCAUACGACCUACGGGUGAAAGCAGGGGAUCUUCGGACCUUGCGCGAUUGAAUGAGCCGAUGUCGGAUUAGCUAGUUGGCGGGGUAAAGGCCCACCAAGGCGACGAUCCGUAGCUGGUCUGAGAGGAUGAUCGGCCACACUGAAACUGAGACACGGUCCAGACUCCUAGGGGAGGCAGCAGUGGGGAAUAUUGAACAAUGGGCGCAAGCCUGAUCCAGCCAUACCGCGUGGGUGAAGAAGGCCUUCGGGUUGUAAAGCCCUUUUGUUGGGAAAGAAAGGCAGCAGGUUAAUACCCCGCUGUUCUGACGGUACCCAAAGAAUAAGCACCGGCUAACUUCGU
rnacentral:rRNA from 1 species